CUGUGUGGAGGAGGAGGGUGGUGGCGGCGGCCGGCUGCGCUGCGCUGCUCUGCUGUCCGUCUCCGCUACAAGACCGUCAAUGGCAACUUCCUGUAGCACUGUCCGGGGCAGCGCCAACCACGGCGCGGGUCCUCCCGGGUGCUCGUUCCCCCGAGCCGCAGACCCUUUCUCUGUCAGCGGGGCCCGUGUACUGCGGCCCCCCAAACGGUGCACAGGCUUCUAAAGAAGGAAAAGCAGCGGGCGUUCUGGCAGUGCCCGGCACACUGGUAGGCAUCAGUAACCCGCCAGCUCCCUCCCAGUAGCUCAACUGCUGUUAGAAUUUUUAAGAAGGAGCUUUCAGGGAAGCUCGCCUGACCUGUAAUUGCCUUGAAGUUCAGAUGGGCCCUAAUGGCCUCUGUGACAGCAAUGGAAAGUGAGCAUCGGAGAGGGUGCUUGGCAUUCUACUGAUGUACCUAAGAAAAGAUGUACUUGAGAAGUGAUAUACUUAAGGAGUGAUUUACUUAAGAAGACCACAAAGAUCUUGUGAAAUAAGAUAUCCUUUGUAUAUACAAGGUAUGCCUUGCUAACGGCUGGGCCCCUGAAGGAGAACUCAAAGACUUACGAGAAGGGAACAUCCUCCCCCAGGAGGCGCCGAGAAGUUGAAAAAUUGCGAAUAGGCAUGAAGUCAGCCAAAAUCUUUGAUAACUGGAGGAAAGGUAAAGGCGGCAGGCAGAGAUCAGGACCACCGACUCAAUUGAAGACCAAAACACUUAAACACCCCCUCCCCUCUUUGAGCAUGCGCUGUGGAAUAAAAGAACACUACCUUUAAUUUGAAGCGGGGAAACUUUAACCCGAUAGAAACUGUACUAGAUAAGCGACUCCCAGUAAUAGUUUUGGGGAAGAACUUUGGAAAUGGAAUAUGUAUAACCGAACUGUAUAAAGUGCUUGCCCGUUUAGGCAUGAGCCGGGUAAACUCGUGGGACAACACUACCAGGGUGCUGUCAGGUGAGCAGUGAUGGCUUUCUUGGGCAGAAGGAGAAACCCUAUUUUAAAUAAAGCCUUUCAGCCUUUCUAAGUCAAAUUGGCAUCUCCUGGAAAACUCACAAAACUUGACUUUUAAAACUUCUAGCACAGUCCCCGAGAGCUUCUUUACCAUGAUCAUGCAUGCUAAAUGUCUUUGCAGACCUCCCAUAGUUCCCAAACUUGGAGAUAGACUGCUGCCUUUUUGUGCUCUUCCUGAGGGUGAAUUAUGAAGGGGUUUGGUUUUUUCAGUGAAUAAUGUGCUACAAAAGCACAAAUAUAAAAAAUAAAAUUCAGUAUCAUGUUACUAUUUAUUUUUCUUCUUUGCCUUUCUCUCUAGAUUUUCUUUAGAUCCCACAAGAAUAGGGAGAGUGGAUAAUGCAUGUGCUUUGUGAAGUCCAAAUUGUUGUGCCAAAAAGACUUACUUUCUUUGCUCAAAACACUUUGCAUCCUCUUGUUUUGGCCUAAGUGGACAAACUCCAUGACUUAGAAUAGAUACCGUUCCAAUGACUUGACUUCAUACAAAACUCAAAGUAAUGGAAUGUGUCUAUUGUCCUAAAUUUCUCUAAUUUCUUCUAUUUAAAACUGUGGAUUUUAUUAAGAUAUUUACAAGGAAGAAUGAAGCAAGUUAAAAGUUUGCCUUUUUUUUUUUUUUACAGGUAUCCAUCAUACUACAGUAGUGUGUUGUUUGUGUCAGUUCUUCUAUUCAAAUAGAUGUUAUUUCUAGAAAUCAUGCUUCAUUGGUGGCUUAUACUAUUUUACAUAUCCCACAUUACUAAAAACAUCCACAAGUAUGACACAGGACCUACUGAAAACUUUCUGAAGUAGCAGCUGGAGGUCAGGCAGUUUUCUUAAACAGGUGCUAGGUGCCUAUGUCUGUGUCUGAAAUCUGAUCCACUGUAGUUACAGAGAAGUUUCAAUAUCACUGCAUCUCAGCUGCAGAAAUUUCCCUCCCAGCAGAUGUUUGCUUACUUGGGCAUCCCAGAGCUUUGCAUAUAUCUGGUUCCAGUUUCCUUUGUACAGUUACCUUUAUUUCUAAGUGUUUUCAUACACCAGUAGGAAAUUAGAAAUCAGUAUUAUUAGUGGGAAGGAAAAUGUUUAUAGAAAUAUAAGGUAUUGGCAAAAAAGCAGCAACUCUAUGGGAAAUUAAUCUGAUGUGCAUAUUCCCACUCUACUGAUUGUUACUGUAUGUUUGCCUACAGUUCAUCCAACAAGUGUGCUGAAUUUAUUCAACAAUGCUGUACGAGCUGUAUUAUAAAUUUCUAGCUGAGAUACUUAACCAUCUGAAAAAGAAAAUCCUGAGAAUCUUCCAGUGGUUUUGUGUAUCCUACGGUAUCAUGUUCCCUUCUUUUAUUUCAGUUAUCUGAUACUGCCUGCUUUUUUCUCUCAUCUACGGUUAUCAGGCAAGUAAUUUUAUGUCUAAAUUUUCAGGAAGAAGCAGAUUCAUUAACUGUAUUCAUCACUGUUAAUAAACAGGGAAAUUGCUAGUGUUAAAUUCUGUUCUGUAAAGGGAAUAAAAUGGCAUGUGUAAAAAGAA